rnacentral:rRNA from 1 species
UGGGGAAUAUUGCGCAAUGGGCGAAAGCCUGACGCAGCGACGCCGCGUGAGGGAUGAAGGCCUUCGGGUUGUAAACCUCUUUCAGCAGGGACGAAGCGCAAGUGACGGUACCUGCAGAAGAAGCGCCGGCUAACUACGUGCCAGCAGCCGCGGUAACACGUAGGGCGCAAGCGUUGUUCGGAAUUACUGGGCGUAAAGAGUGUGUAGGCGGUGCUCUAAGUUCGGUGUGAAAUCUCCCGGCUUAACUGGGAGGGUGCGCCGGAAACUGGAGUGCUUGAGCGCGGGAGAGGAAAGCGGAAUUCCUGGUGUAGCGGUGAAAUGCGUAGAUAUCAGGAGGAACACCUGUGGUGUAGACGGCUUUCUGGACCGUAGCUGACGCUGAGACACGAAAGCGUGGGUAGCAAACAGGAUUAGAACCC